CCAGCCUGCUUUCCCAGGGACAACGCCCUGCCUAUAUCUGGUACCUCGGGCUCAACUGCUGCAAAAGGAGACGUCACUGGGUGUGGAUCCAGGGUUGUGCUGUAACAGACAUGCCCCCUUCAGAAGUCAGAAGGACUUAACUGGUGACAUCAAUAACUCCUUAAAGAAAGCUCGAAGAGUAAGGAGAUACCGUACCGCCACCGUCACUGCUGUCUGGGUGCAUGCUUGCAGUGUUGGGAGCCCGAGAAGCGCUUGCAAUCUAAGAACCGGUGACACAGCUACAAGGUACGGGGCUCGUUCAGUUCAAUUCAGCUCAUCUGCCAAACACCACGCCAUGUGGAGCCGGUUGCUGUCUUUGCAAGCGUUCCUGCAAAGCUUCAGGCCAAAAGGAAGGCUGAGGUCAACUCCACCCCGACACCCCCCCACACACACCCCUCCCUCUGACCCCACCCUCCACAUAGCAUACACUUUCCCGCUGGCGAGAGCGCUGUGUCUGGCUUUGAGUUUGGGCCUAAUUCCCUGCAGUUAGGUACAGCGUGUUUGUGUUUGCAGCAGUGCUCACUUGGCAGAAGGGCUGGCGGGGGGAGGAGAUUGGGGUGACAGCUGUUCACUAGCCAGUGCUCCCUGAUGAGAGUGUUAUUGGAACGGGGCUCUGGCCGGGUUCCACUUAGGAGAAUUACGUUCUGCCCUCGUAAAAUUCCCCUUGCCACAUUUGAUUGGACACGGUGUUGCUGUUUCAUGCCCUCUUCUAAUCUGUUGUGUCGUGUGGCUGGGCUCUGUUCACUUUUUGUUUUGAUCCAAAUUGUUGCUACCUUGACUCUGGGCUGUUAAAUUCCUUCUGCACUCCUCCCUAGAGGUGGCUGCAUUUCUGAGGUGAAGAGCGGUGAUGCCUGUAAGGAGAAGGCCAAAUUCUGUCUUUGGGGAGGU